GAAUAAUUAUAUAUGAACAAAUGUGUCAUAAUGGGAAACAGUUUUAAACCAUUUAUAAUAACAUUUAUGUAUAAUAUAACUUAUAUAUAUAUAUAUAUUACUUCUUUCUUUUUCCUUUUUCUAGAUUACGGUUUUAAGUAUUAAACAUGCAUUAAAAUUACCAGCUGAGUUGUCUCAGAAGCUUCUGCAUUACUAUUUUGAAAAACGGAAAGAUCAACUCCAUGCUACUUAUUUGGUUGAAGGUUACAAAGAGGGGGGUGUUGAGUAUGUUUGUUCUCUUUUAAAUGGACAAGACAUUGCUAAGUUGUCAAAUCCGGACUCACUUACUAUAAAAAUAUACAGUUUACAGUCAACUAAAAAAAAACAGGAUUUUUGUUUAUUGUGGAAACAAGAAUUUAAUAUAAUAAAACAACUACAAGAUAGUAAAUUGUCAAAUACGACUAACCAAUCUUCCAUAAACACGUAAUUGCAAUUUCACACAAUUAAAUAUGUGUCCUUAGUCAUAUAUAUAUAUAUAUAUAUAUAUUGAAGAACUGACAACUAUAACCUUUUUUUUUUUUUUAUACAUAUAAUAAUAUAAUAAAAAAUAGCACACGCUAAAAAAAUGUAUACA
rnacentral:lncRNA from 1 species